UACAGAGGGGGCAAGCGUUGUUCGGAAUUACUGGGCGUAAAGGGCGCGUAGGCGGCCUGUUAAGUCGAACGUGAAAUCCCCGGGCUCAACCCGGGAACUGCGUCCGAUACUGGCAGGCUUGAAUCCGGGAGAGGGAUGCGGAAUUCCAGGUGUAGCGGUGAAAUGCGUAGAGAUCAGGCGGAACACCCGUGGCGAAGGCGGCCAGCUGGGCCGUCCCUGACGCUGAGGCGCGAAGGCGUGGGGAGCGAACGGG
rnacentral:rRNA from 1 species